UACAGAGGUCUCGAGCGUUGUUCGGAUUCAUUGGGCGUAAAGGGUGCGUAGGCGGCGCCGUAAGUCGGGCGUGAAAUUUCGGAGCUUAACUCCGAAACUGCAUUCGAUACUGCGGUGCUUGAGGACUGGAGAGGAGACUGGAAUUCAUGGUGUAGCAGUGAAAUGCGUAGAGAUCAUGAGGAAGACCAGUGGCGAAGGCGGGUCUCUGGACAGUUCCUGACACUGAGGCACGAAGGCCAGGGGAGCAAACGGG
rnacentral:rRNA from 1 species